rnacentral:misc_RNA from 1 species
UGCUAAAAUACAUAAUUAAGGAAAACCAAUCCCUUUUUUGGGUUCGUGCUGAAAGAAGCAACAGUUGAGAUCAGAACCUGAAAGAAAAGGAAAGCACAACCAUGGAAGAAGAAACACAUGAGAUCAGAACCCCUCUAAUAACCAAGGAUGAGAAAGUUGAAGAUCCCUCAUCAUCAGAAACAAUAGCAGCAAAUUCUAAAUCCGAGAUUGACCAACUACAAGAAACAGAAGAGAACUCACC